UUUUUCCUGCAGUGUUCGACCUUUACCCAUCUACAACAGGCCCGGACCGUUGUUACGUCAAUGGGGGCUUAGCCGGUCGUCGGCUGUCAGGCCUUCGCUGGAAGGCAAAAGUCGACAGGCGGCCCCCUCCCUGUAGAGAUACGGGAACGUGAGCCUCACGAUCGGGAGACGGCACAGGCGGGGAACUC
rnacentral:other from 1 species